AAUGAACGCUGGCGGCAGGCCUAAAACAUGCAAGUCUAACGCCCUAGCAAUAGGGAGUGGCGCACGGGUGAGUAACACGUGGGAAUAUGCCUUUUGGUACGGAACAACGUCUGGAAACGGACGCUAAUGCCGUAUGGUCCCUUCGGGGUAAGGAUUUAUCGCCAAAAGAUUAGCCCGCGUCUGAUUAGCUAGUUGGUGAGGUAAUGGCUCACCAAGGCGACGAUCAGUAGCUGGUCUGAGAGGGAGAUCAGCCACACUGGGACUGAGACACGGCCCAGACUCCUACGGGAUGCAGCAUUUAGCAAUCUGUGACAAUGGACGCAAGUUUGAUCCAGCCUUGCCGCGUGAGUGAUGAAGGCCUUCGGGUUGUAAAGCUCUUUCACCGUAGAAGGUAAUGACGGUAUCCGGAGAAGAAGCCCCGGCUAACUUCGUGCCUGCAGCCGCAGUAACAC
rnacentral:rRNA from 1 species